rnacentral:lncRNA from 1 species
UUCCAAUUCCAUGGUGUGUGUUUUGGCAGGCUCCUCUACGGGUGGAGAAGGAGCAGACCUCGCCGGAGCUUUCCUUGGUUGUCGGCGUUGCCGUCGCUAGCCGUUGUACCAACAGAAUAGAGAGAAGACGAGAUGGGGGUAGAGAAGAAGAAAAAGAAGAAUAGGAGGAGGGGAUAUGGGCGAGAGAUCACCUUGACGAGCAGGGAGGAAGGCUCCAUGUCCAUGAGCGGAGCAGCAGCAGCGUCCUCGCCUCCCGAUGAUGAUGUGCGAGCUCGCCUGAGGAGCAGCAGCAGCCGUGGUGCUUCCCGGUGGGUGGCGGCGCGA